rnacentral:rRNA from 1 species
CCAAGAGAUCGGGAUAACACCUAGGAAACAGAUGCUAAUACCGGAUAACAACAGAUGAUGCCUAUCAACUGUUUAAAAGAUGGUUCUGCUAUCACUCUUGGAUGGACCUGCGGUGCAUUAGCUAGUUGGUAGGGUAACGGCCUACCAAGGCGAUGAUGCAUAGCCGAGUUGAGAGACUGAUCGGCCACAUUGGGACUGAGACACGGCCCAAACUCCUACGGGAGGCAGCAGAC